GCCGGAUUGGCGGAAUCGGUAGACGCGGCGCACUCAAAAUGCGUUGCCUCACGGCGUGCGGGUUCGAGUCCCGCAUCCGGCA
rnacentral:tRNA from 2 species